GACGAACGCUGGCGGCGUGCUUAACACAUGCAAGUCGAACGGAAAUGCCCUGCUUUUGUGGGGUGCUCUAGUUGCGAAAGGGUUAGUAACAAGUGAGUAACCUUCCCUUGCCCUUCGGAUAACCUCAUGAAACUGGGGCCAAUAACGGAUAGGUGUUCCUGCUGCAUGUUGGGGGUUGGAAAGUUUCGGCGGUUGGGGAUGGACUCGCGGCUUAUCAGCUUGUUGGUGGGGUAGUGGCUUACCAAGGCUUUGACGGGUAGGCGGCCUGAGAGGGUCGCCGGCCACGUUGGGACUGAGAUGCGGCCCAGACUCCUACGGGAGGGAGCAGUGGGGAAUAUUGCACAGUGGGGGGAAGCCUGAUGCAGCAACGCCGCGUGCGGGGUGACGGCCUUCGGGUUGUGAACCGCUUUCGCCUGUGACGAAGCGUGAGUGACGGUAAUGGGUAAAGAAGCACCGGCUAACUACGUG
rnacentral:rRNA from 1 species